rnacentral:misc_RNA from 1 species
AAGUCGUAACAAGGUUUCCGUAGGUGAACCUGCGGAAGGAUCAUUAUCACGUAUCCACGUAUAAACCAUUGUGAACUGUGUUAACCUUUGGAGGGAACUGUGUGAAUGUAUUGUUUCUUAAGUGAUUUAAGCAAUCUUUCACAUGCUCUACUGUUCUCUCUGAAGUGUAUUUCUUAAAUUACUUUACAUUAACCCUUUAAACCUAUUCUUUUAAAACUCUGAACUAAUUCAUUUCUUACUCUUCGGAGAAGAAAUAUUUUACGAAACUAAAGAACAACUCUUAGCAACGGAUAUCUUGGUUCUC